AUGUACGUCGUCGGCGCCGCGGAGUUCCUUGUCCCCUUUCGUCCGGCGCUGUUGGUGAGCGUGUGCAUGGGCUUGCCCACGCGAGCCAGGAGGGCCGCCAGCUUCCUCUUCGUGACCCCGCGGCCGUCCGCGGCCGUGGGCGCGCCCUUCCACCGCGCCGGCCCCGCCACGCCCUGGUGGCAGAGCGCCAGCGGGCGCGGCGCGACGGCGGCCUUGGACCUGCCCCGGCGCGCGGCGGAGCGGAGGCAGCCGGCGAGGGAGCGGGCCGACCGCUGCGCGGCGGCGGCGAGCAGCCUGGUGGCGCGCCACGGCAGGACGGUGAUGGCGGCGGAGGCGGAGGACUCCCUCCGGGCGAGCUUGAGGAUCUCGAGGCGGUGCUUGGCGACGGCGACGCCCAUGGUGGCGAGGAAGGCGUGGUCGAGGUGGCGCACGUCGGCGGCGCCGAGCUCGUUGCGCGCGAACAGGAGCGCGUACUCGGCGGCCAGGUCCUCGCCCAGCCCCGCCCUGCGCAGCCACUCGUACCAGUCCAUCCCUCCCUCCCUCGCUCGCUCAGGCGUGCUGGGGGUGUGCAGGUGGGACGCACGAGCGGCGUGA
rnacentral:rRNA from 1 species